rnacentral:lncRNA from 1 species
AUGUGGGAUAUCUAUAGCAGGUACCGGAUGAAUGAACACAGGGACAGAGGGCCCCUGGCCACAGCAGGGAGGCUGGCAUUCCCAAGCCCUGGCCACUGUGGGAUUUCCAAACAAGUUUCAUAUCCUCAUUUCCAAGCCUCAGUGCAGGAGUCAUGGGAGGGAGGCGAUCAGGUCCAGCUUGCACAGGGUGGGGCAGGACUUUGCCCAGCAGAAACUGAGGGAGGUCGCCAGCUUUGGGUGGGGGCUGGGCUCCCAGGGAGCUGUGAUUCACAGUGGCAAGGUAGGACCUUUUCAUGUAGCUGCCGGUGCCAGGCACAGCAACGAGCCUAUGUGGAUCUGGCCCACCCUGCCUCUGUCGCAGCCCCAGAGCUGGGCAGGGAGAGCAGAGAGCCAGAGCAGGCGUCUUUGGUUGGCCUGGAGCCAGACCCCGGUGUGACCGAUGCUCAGAGGGAAGGGCUGGCCCCUGCAUGCCUGGUCAGGAAGACCUCCCUGAGCACAGGGUGGACGUUGAGGCUGCCUGAUGACAGGGAAGGCGAGCUCCACACAGAGGUGGUGAUUCUGCAAAGUGCUCAGGCAGGAGACUGCCUCCAUCUGCAAGCCUCCCAGCCUGCAGCGCCCCGGGGACCUGCAGAUCCUUCCCCAGUCAACCGCUGAGAAUGCCCAAGCCCUUUAGGGAGGCGCCACUUCAGCGGGGCCCGCGAGCGGCCGGUGCCAGCCAGAGGGAAGUGGACAGGACAGCAGCCUCCACCUGCAGCCCCAGCUGCCGAGAGCUCCCACCCCCAGGCGCCCUCGUUCUAGCCCUCUGCCAGCGCAGAGCCCUUCUGCUGCGGCCUCGCCUGGGGUCUCUCGCCCUCCUC